rnacentral:rRNA from 1 species
GAUGAACGCUGGCGGCGUGCCUAAUACAUGCAAGUCGAGCGAAUGGAUUAAGAGCUUGCUCUUAUGAAGUUAGCGGCGGACGGGUGAGUAACACGUGGGUAACCUGCCCAUAAGACUGGGAUAACUCCGGGAAACCGGGGCUAAUACCGGAUAACAUUUUGAACCGCAUGGUUCGAAAUUGAAAGGCCGCUUCGGCUGUCACUUAUGGAUGGACCCGCGUCGCAUUAGCUAGUUGGUGAGGUAACGGCUCACCACGGCAACGAUGCGUAGCCGACCUGAGAGGGUGAUCGGCCACACUGGGACUGAGACACGGCCCAGACUCCUACGGGAGGCAGCAGUAGGGAAUCUUCCGCAAUGGACAAAAGUCUGACGGAGCAACGCCGCGUGAGUGAUGAAGGCUUUCGGGUCGUAAAACUCUGUUGUUAGGGAAGAACAAGUGCUAGUUGAAUAAGCUGGCACCUUGACGGUACCUAACCAGAAAGCCACGGCUAACUACGUGCCAGCAGCCGCAGUAA